UGGGGAAGAAAAAUGAACCCACAAGAAGCAAGUCCUCAAUUGAGACCCUGGCAAAAUAAUGUAUGCCUUUACCUUGAACGAGACUGACCCCUUACCAUUUAUAAAGGGUAGACUUGCUUCUUUCAUCCAUCCACAUCUGAUGCAGCCUCCCAAUAAGGCAGUAAUUGCUGUUCAGGUCAGGGAAAGGGGGCAGAAGGGAAAAGGUGAGGGUGCAGAAAAU
rnacentral:lncRNA from 1 species